UAAGGGCAUUUUUGUGGUAAAAAUACAUUUCUAGCUUGUUUUUAGAGAAUUUUUCGACCAUUUUUCGGUGCAUUUGAAUCCGGGUCCUAAUAAUAAUAGCAAUAAUAAUAAUAGUAGCGAACGCGAUCCGAAUAUUUCGACGAUCGACGACAGCCACGACUUUACCGGACGUUGCCCGCAGCCGUUUAGGUCCGAAUGUCGUGAACCGCGGCCAUUCAAAUGCCACGGAGUCCGACGACGCGAUAUCGUG